rnacentral:rRNA from 1 species
CCUACGGGUGGCAGCAGUGGGGAAUAUUGCACAAUGGGGGAAACCCUGAUGCAGCGACGCCGCGUGAGUGAAGAAGUAUUUCGGUAUGUAAAGCUCUGUCAGCAGGGAAGAAAGUGAUGGUACCUGAGUAAGAAGCCCCGGCUAACUACGUGCCAGCAGCCGCGGUAAUACGUAGGGGGCAAGCGUUAUCCGGAUUUACUGGGUGUAAAGGGAGCGUAGACGGCAGUGCAAGUCUGGAGUGAAAGGCGGGGGCUCAACCCCGGGACUGCUCUGGAAACUGGAGGGCUGGAGUGCAGGAGGGGUAAGUGGAAUUCCUAGUGUAGCGGUGAAAUGCGUAGAUAUUAGGAGGAACACCAGUGGCGAAGGCGGCUUACUGGACUGUAACUGACGUUGAGGCUCGAAAGCGUGGGGAGCAAACAGGAUUAGAUACCCGAGUAGUC